rnacentral:rRNA from 1 species
UACGUAGGGGGCAAGCGUUGUCCGGAAUCAUUGGGCGUAAAGCGCACGUAGGCGGCCCUGUAAGUCCGUUGUGAAAGUCAAAGGCUCAACCUUUGAAUGCCGAUGGAUACUGCAGGGCUAGAGUCCGGAAGAGGCGAGUGGAAUUCCUGGUGUAGCGGUGGAAUGCGCAGAUAUCAGGAGGAACACCAAUAGCGAAGGCAGCUCGCUGGGACGGUACUGACGCUAAGGUGCGAAAGCGUGGGGAGCAAACGGG